AUUGAACGCUGGCGGCAGGCCUAACACAUGCAAGUCGAGCGGAUGAAAGGGGCUUGCUCCUGGAUUCAGCGGCGGACGGGUGAGUAAUACGCAGGAAUCUACCUAGUAGUGGGGGAUAACGUUUCGAAAGGGACGCUAAUACCGCAUACGUUCUGAGGAAGAAAGCAGGGGAUCGUAAGACCUUGCGCUAUUAGAUGAGCUUGCGUCCGAUUAGCUAGUUGGUGGGGUAAAGGCCUACCAAGGCGACGAUCGGUAACUGGUCUGAGAGGAUGAUCAGUCACACUGGAACUGAGACACGGUCCAGACUCCUACGGGAGGCAGCAGUGGGGAAUUUUGGACAAUGGGCGCAAGCCUGAUCCAGCCAUGCCGCGUGCGGGACGAAGGCCUCGGUUGUAAACCGCUUUCAGCCGGAAGAAUACGCCGUUUUAAUACUAGACGGUGGAUGACGGUACCGGAAGAAGAAGACACCGGCUAACUACGUGCCAGCAG
rnacentral:rRNA from 1 species